CGAGUCUUUGCAGUAAUGCAAGGCAUACGGCUCAGUAACACGUAGUCAACUUACCCUAUGGACGAGGAUAAUCUCGGGAAACUGAGCAUAAUACUCGAUAGAUCAUAAUGCCUGGAAUGGUUUAUGGUUGAAAUGAUUCGUCGCCAUAGGAUGGGACUGCGGCCUAUCAGCUUGUUGGUGAGGUAAUGGCCCACCAAGGCGAUUACAGGUACGGGCUCUGAGAGGAGAAGCCCGGAGAUGGGUACUGAGACAAGGACCCAGGCCCUAUGGGGCGCAGCAGGCGAGAAAACUUUGCAAUGUGCGAAAGCACGACAAGGUUAAUCCGAGUGAUUUCUGCUAAAGAAAUCUUUUGCCAGUCAUAAAACCACUA
rnacentral:rRNA from 1 species